ensembl:lncRNA
UAAUACUGACAUAAAACUGUCAUUGCAGAUGCCAUGUUAUGUCAUUAGACAUUGUGACAGUCCAAUGGCAUGAGAGUGUAAUAAGUAGCUAUCACAGAAUUGUGUGAAUGCCACAAUAGUCUAUGCCUCAUCCUUACAGCUAAGACAUAUUUAUGACAUGGUUAUAUCAGUUUUAUGAUGUGCUGCAAAUAAGUGUUACCUGAAAAAUCCUGGAUUUCAGUGUUGGUUUCCGUUUCUCUUAAACUUCUAUAGAGGUCUAAAAUGUAAACCAAAAUCAGCUUAACAUGAAGGCGUACCAUAGAGCACUUCAGAGAGCGACUGAGCGUACCAGAGGCCAUCGGUAGGCCUGACCCAGCUAUUCCCCACACGCUAGCAGUGUGCUUGUGUUAGGCCUGACCUAGCUAUUCCACACAUGCUAGCAGUGUGAUUGUGUUACCGUAGUUGGCCUGGCCUAGCUAUCCCCCACACACUAGCAGUGUGCUUGUUAUACAACUGUAGCUAUACCCCACAAGCUAGCAGUGUGCGUGUGUUACAGCGGUAGGCCUGACCUAGCUAUCUCCCACACGCUAGCAUGUGUUACAUCGGUUGUCUGACAUAAGACUCUUUUCUCCUGGCCUUAAAAUUAGCAGGUUUCGUCUGAAGCAAUAUAGCUUUUAGAGCUGGAUCAGAAGCUUCUUCAGGGGAGUGUGUACAAAUUGGGCCAUACUGGAUACAAAUGCACUUUGAAUAAUCUUUUUUUUACCAUAUUAAUUUUGCAAACUGUUAUGUGUACUCUACUAAAUAUAAUUUCUUAUAUUUAAGGUUGGUAACCAUGAGAUAAUGUCAAUUACAUCGGUACGCUUUAAAGAAAUUCGCCAUUCAAAUUUACCUUGCGUAAAUUUCCACUAGAAUUCACUGGCAGUUACAUACAAAACACAAAUAUGAACCAUAGAACAAUACAAAAAUGUUACAAAAAACAACAUAGAAAAAUAUAGUGCAAAGUUUUCACUCAUACAAAAAUGCAUACACACACUCUUACACGUGCACACACACACUCAACGCACACACACACACAUUAACACUGUGCUUCAGACAGGACUGUACAGCUACGUAGAGGCCACAUGUGUAACCCAAACUGAUGCAGCAAGAGUCCUUCACACACACACACACACACGCACGCACACGCACACACGCACACACACACACACACACACAUUAACACUGUGCUUCAGACAGGACUGUGCAGCUACGUAGAGGCCCAAUAGUCCUUCCAACCGCCCCAUCCUCUCGGAGGCCACUUCAUCAGGGGUCAAACUAAGUUUUGAGUUCAGGGGUCAAACUAAGUUUUGAGUUCUCCCCAGUCCCACAGCUGCUCCAGCCUACUGUCUCGCCCACCCAGCAUGCAGUGCUGCUGGGUACAUGAGUGAGGAGCAGGCCCUGUAAAGGUAACAGAUCAUGGCUCCCUGCUGAGGAGUUUAGGUUAGAAUCUCGUUGCUGGAGAAUGAGUGAAUUGGGAGGGAUGUAUCGUCAGAUAUAUAUCUGAUUCUAGUAUGCCAC